UACGUAGGUGACAAGCGUUAUCCGGAUUUACUGGGCGUAAAGAGCGCGCAGGCGGUCGAUCAAGUCGAGUGUGAAAGCCCCCGGCUCAACUGGGGAGGGUCAUUCGAUACUGAUCGACUCGAAGGCAGGAGAGGGUAGUGGAAUUCCCGGUGUAGUGGUGAAAUGCGUAGAUAUCGGGAGGAACACCAGUGGCGAAGGCGACUACCUGGCCUGUUCUUGACGCUGAGGCGCGAAAGCUAGGGGAGCAAACGGG
rnacentral:rRNA from 1 species